UACGUAGGCUGCAAGCGUUAAUCGGAAUUACUGGGCGUAAAGCGUGCGCAGGCGGUGAUGUAAGACAGGUGUGAAAUCCCCGGGCUUAACCUGGGAACUGCAUUUGUGACUGCAUCGCUGGAGUGCGGCAGAGGGGGAUGGAAUUCCGCGUGUAGCAGUGAAAUGCGUAGAUAUGCGGAGGAACACCGAUGGCGAAGGCAAUCCCCUGGGCCUGCACUGACGCUCAUGCACGAAAGCGUGGGGAGCAAACAGG
rnacentral:rRNA from 1 species